rnacentral:rRNA from 1 species
AAGUCGUAACAAGGUUUCUUGGGGAACAACACCUGCUUGAAGCCUUGGAUACCAGUCUACUUAUAUAGGCAACAUCUUCAAUAUGCUUGGAUACUGUCAUGGUAACAUGCAGCUGCUGAUACAGUUCACAGAUCAAACGAAGGUGGUCCAAAAACAAACCUGUCUUGGAUUCAGAUAUGACCGGCCUACUUCUGAAAAGGCUGUAGACCAUGUGUUCCGUAGGUGAACCUGCGGAAGGAUCAUUACAGAGAAAUUGCCCCUUGGGGUAGAUCUCCCACCCUUUGUUUACAUUACCUUUGUUGCUUUGGCAGGCCUGUCUUUUGACUACCGGCUUAGGCUGGUCUGUGCCUGCCAGAGGACCCUAAACUCUUGAUUUUUGUGUUGUCUGAGUAAUAUAAACAAAUAAGUUAAAACUUUCAACAACGGAUCUCUUGGUUCUGGCAUCGAUGAAGAACGCAGCGAAAUGCGAUAAGUAAUGUGAAUUGCAGAAUUCAGUGAAUCAUCGAAUCUUUGAACGCACAUUGCACCUUCUGGUAUUCCGGAGGGUAUGCCUGUUCGAGCGUCAUUUCAACCCUCAAGCCCAGCUUGGUAUUGGGUGCCACCUGGCAAUGGUGCACCUCAAAAUCAGUAGCANNGCCAUNUGGCUUCAAGUGUAGUAAAACUCUCGCUUUNNNNNACGGCGAGUGAGCGGCAACAGCUCAAAUUUGAAAUCUGGCCUUUGGUCCGAAUUGUAAUUNGUAGAGGAUGCUUUGAACAUGGUCUGGUCUAAGUUCCUUGGAACAGGACGUCAUAGAGGGUGAGAAUCCCGUAUGUGACUGGGUGCCUAAGUUCAUGUAAAGCUCCUUCAACGAGUCGAGUUGUUUGGGAAUGCAGCUCAAAAUGGGUGGUAAAUUUCAUCUAAAGCUAAAUAUUGGCCAGAGACCGAUAGCGCACAAGUAGAGUGAUCGAAAGAUGAAAAGCACUUUGGAAAGAGAGUUAAAUAGUACGUGAAAUUGUUGAAAGGGAAGCGCUUGCAAUCAGACUUGCAUACAGUUGAUCAUCCGAUGUUCUCACCGGUGCACUCAUCUGCAUUCAGGCCAGCAUCGGUUUUGAUGGUUGGAUAAAGGCCCUGGGAAUGUAGCUUCUUUCGGGGAGUGUUAUAGCCCAAGGUGCAAUGCAGCCUACCAGGACCGAGGACCGCGCUUCGGCUAGGAUGCUGGCGUAAUGGUUGUAAGCGACCCGUCUUGAAACACGGACC